UACGAAGGGGGCUAGCGUUGCUCGGAAUCACUGGGCGUAAAGGGUGCGUAGGCGGGUCUUUAAGUCAGGGGUGAAAUCCUGGAGCUCAACUCCAGAACUGCCUUUGAUACUGAGGAUCUUGAGUACGGGAGAGGUGAGUGGAACUGCGAGUGUAGAGGUGAAAAUUCGUAGAUAUUCGCAAGAACACCAGUGGCGAAGGCGGCUCACUGGACCGGUAUUGACGCUGAGGUGCGAAAGCGUGGGGAGCAAACAGG
rnacentral:rRNA from 1 species